AUGAGAUCACACAGUCAGAACAACACGAGGGAGUGUAGAGUCAGGACAACACGAGGGAGGGAGUGUAGAGUCAGGAAAACACGAGGGAGGGAGUGUAGAGUCAGGAAAACACGAGGGAGGGAGUGUAGAGUCAGGACAACACACGGGAGGGAGUGUAGAGUCAGAACAACACGAGGGAGGGAGUGUAGAGUCAGGACAACACGAGGGAGGGAGUGUAGAGUCAGGACAACACGAGGGAGGGAGUGUAGAGUCAGGACAACACAAGGGAGGGAGUGUAGAGUCAGGACAACACGAGGGAUGGAGUGUAGAGUCAGGACAACACGAGGGAGUGUAGAGUCAGGACAGCACGAGGGAGUGUAGAGUCAGGACAGCAUGAGGGAGGGAGUGUAGAGUCAGGACAACAUGCGGGAGUGCGUGGAAGUACAUUAGUGUCUAGUUUGAGAAACAGACGCCUCACAAGUCCUCAACUGGCAGCUUCAUUAAAUAGUACCCGCAAAACACCAGUCUCAACGUCAACUGUGAAGAGGCGACUCCGGGAUGCUGGCCUUCUAGGCAGAGUUGCAAAGAAAAAGCCAUAUCUCAGACUGGCCAAUAAAAAUAAAAGAUUAAGAUGGGCAAACGAACACAGACACUGGACAGAGGAACUCUGCCUAGAAGGCCAGCAUCCCGGAGUCGCCUCUUCACUGUUGACGUUGAGACUGGUGUUUUGCAGGUACUAUUUAACGAAACUGCCAGUUGAGGACUUGUGAGGCGUCUGUUUCUCAAAGUAGACACUCCAAUGUACUUGUCCUCUGCAGCAUGUUGUCCUGACUCUACACUCCCUCCCUCAUGCUGUCCUGACUCUACACUCCCUCGUGCUGUCCUGACUCUGGGUCUUCCUUUCCUGUGGCGGUCCUCAUGAGAGACAGUUUCAUCAUAGCGCUUGAUAGUUUUUACAACGGCACUUUCCUGAAAUUUUCCGUAUUGACUGACCUUCAUGUCUUAAACGUAAUGAUGGACCGUUGUUUCUCUUUGCUUAUUUGAGCUGUUCUUGCCAUUAUAUGGACUUUGUCUCACCAAAUAGGGCCAUCUUCUGUAUACCACCCCUACCUUGUCACAACACAACUGAUUGGCUCAAAUGCAUUAAGGAAAUUAUUUCCACAAUUUAACAAGGCACACCUGUUAAUUGAAAUGCAUUCCAGGUGACUACCUCAUGAAGCUGGUUGAGAGAAUGCCAAGACUGUGCAAAGCUGUCAUCAAGGCAAAGGGUGGCUACUUCGAAGAAUCUCAAAUGUAUUUUGAUUUGUUUGACACCUAUUUUUGGUUACGACAUGAUUCCAUGUGUUAUUUCAUAGUUUUGAUGUCUUCACUGUUAUUCUACAAUGUAGAAAAUAGUCAAAAUGAAGAAAAACCCUUGAGUAGGUGUCCAAACUUUUGACUGGUACUGUACUGGUACUGUACUGGUACUGCGCUCCUUCACGGUUGCACAUUCAGCAAAUCCCCAUCAGAGGGAGUUCCCUUUGAAUCCAUUUUCCCCAUUCACUGUGUUGGUGGUGCUCACAAUAUGCNNNNNNNNNNNNNNNNNNNNNNNNNNNNNNNNNNNNNNNNNNNNNNNNNNNNNNNNNNNNNNNNNNNNNNNNNNNNNNNNNNNNNNNNNNNNNNNNNNNNNNNNNNNNNNNNGUCAGGACAACACGAGGGAGGGAGUGUAGAGUCAGGACAACACAAGGGAGGGAGUGUAGAGUCAGGACAACACGAGGGAUGGAGUGUAGAGUCAGGACAACACGAGGGAGUGUAGAGUCAGGACAGCACGAGGGAGUGUAGAGUCAGGACAGCAUGAGGGAGGGAGUGUAGAGUCAGGACAACAUGCGGGAGUGCGUGGAAGUACAUUAGUGUCUAGUUUGAGAAACAGACGCCUCACAAGUCCUCAACUGGCAGCUUCAUUAAAUAGUACCCGCAAAACACCAGUCUCAACGUCAACUGUGAAGAGGCGACUCCGGGAUGCUGGCCUUCUAGGCAGAGUUGCAAAGAAAAAGCCAUAUCUCAGACUGGCCAAUAAAAAUAAAAGAUUAAGAUGGGCAAACGAACACAGACACUGGACAGAGGAACUCUGCCUAGAAGGCCAGCAUCCCGGAGUCGCCUCUUCACUGUUGACGUUGAGACUGGUGUUUUGCAGGUACUAUUUAACGAAACUGCCAGUUGAGGACUUGUGAGGCGUCUGUUUCUCAAAGUAGACACUCCAAUGUACUUGUCCUCUGCAGCAUGUUG
rnacentral:lncRNA from 13 species